rnacentral:lncRNA from 1 species
AACUUAUUAUUAUUAAAAUGAUCUGAACUGUUUCAAAGACCCAACAUGCAUUUUUUUUGCAUUGGGCUCUUUCAUUAACUGAUAUUUAUAGCAGUUAGUCUGCCAUUUUUUUUCUUGACAGAAAAAAAGAUAAGGAAAUGGCUCCAUGUGCUCUGAUUCAUUAUUUGGGAGCAUUACCAAAGUGUUUCAAAGGUGGGAUUAUCUUGACGUAGGUCUGUCUCUGGCCUAAAUAAACCUAAGUUAAACAUAAUUGUAUAAAUUCAGUUCAACAGAAACCAAUUUCAAAACAGCAAAUCCUCCAAAGAAUCUUAUACCUUAUAACCAUAUAUUAAAAUAUUAGCACAAAAAUAAAAAUAUCAGAUCAUACCUUUGUUUGUUAGAUCGUUUAGUUUUGGUGUUGAAUCCAUUAGCUAUUGCAUAUCUUGCCAUAACUGCAACCAAAGUUUGCUUAUCAUUAUAAAGCUGAUCAACCUUUAUUUCGGUGUUCUUGCAGUCAGUAAUGAAGUUUUUCACUUCAAAUUCAGGAACGUAUAAUGCAUACUGAUUUUGCGUUUCAACGACCAUUACCGCAACUGAAUCAUAUUCACUAUCUUCAAUACAAAGUACAACCCCUAUUUUUCUAUCAAACUCGAUAUCCUUAUUCGACUUGUCGAAAGCGGAAAUACACAACGGAAAUACACAGUAAAAAAUUAACCAAUCCAGAAAAUUAUUUCUUCAACUCAAUGUAAACUCUCACUCCAUUGUACUUCCUUAUGUUAAUUAAAGAAGAAUUACCUUCAACAAUGUAUUUAACUUCAAUUUUUUUACGUACUUCAUCAAUAUUCAAUUUCAUGAAGAUCGUAGAAAUCAAUUUCAAGAAAGUUACUUUUCGAAACAAUAAUUGCAUCACUUUUGUACGAUUGAUAACCGAUUUGCGACUUCCAGAUACCCGAAUAUAGCAACAAUAUGGUAAUGUUCAUAUUUAUUAUUUAGAGAACAGAAGAACGCAUAUGAAGAAACUUUUUUUUUCCCUGAUUGUAAAUCUACAAAGAAGAAGACUUUAUUGUGAUGUUUAAAAAAAUAUUAGAAUUUAAAUUUCAGUACUAUAAUUACUCAUACACUACAUAAUGUUAACUAAUUAAUGGCGGGGUUAAUUAAGGAACAGUAAGAUACUAUCUGAUUUAUCUUACCUUAAAUAUAGGAUUAACAGUUUUAUCAUACAUUCCAACUAUAUAUGAGAGAUGUCCGAAUGUAUGAGUAUAUUUACAAAAUCUGAGAGAGAAAGCCUGAAGGAAUUUUAUGUAAUUACUUUGUCUAGGGAGGGGAUUUAUAUAGUUUAUAAAUAUUAUUUCAUGAACAUAUUUGAUUUCAUUAUUGGAUUGUAUCAACAACAUGUUUUCUCAGAUGAGCAAUUGUACGUGGCCCUUUCAAGAGGAAUAUCAAUGGCCAAAAUAAGAGUUUUGGUUAUGAAAGAACAACCAGAUCGGAAGUCAGAAACUCGGAAGACAGAAACAUACAUGAAAUAUCGUCCAUAAGGAAGUAUUAGAUGAGAUAUGAUAUCUAACAUAUUUCAAAUUAAUCAAAUCUAAAUAAAUAUAUAAAUUACAUGUAUCUUAUUAUAAUUCCAUUAUGUUGAUUUUAUAGGAUCAGGUCUAUAAGAUGAGACAUAACUUUCCGCAUUCAACUUUUCCAAAAUGUAUCUAUUCUUUAAAUUUUUUGCAACUAUAUAAUGAUAUCAUCAUUUUCCUUAGUAGGCAGAAAAAGGCACCAAUUUAUUAUUUUGUGAUGAAUUAUUUAUUCAAAAGAUUGGUCAAAUUGAAUCAACAAUACAACAUAUCAAAAGCAAAAAAAAGUAACGUCCCUGCAUAAGCAUAGCCACGACUUCAAUGCAUCCUCUUCAAAAACAAAACAACCAUGGCAAUUCAAUGUCAAUAUCCAACUCGCUAAACUAAAAUUGUUAGUUAUAAAUGCUACUAUACAUUACUAUCAUCCACGGUUUAUCACCUACAGAAUUUACUUCAGAUUUUAUUUAUUAUCCAACUUAAAUUAUGUGCUAAGUAUUUCGCACUACACAUUGCACAAACCUAGCCUACUUUUGCUCUUCCAGUAUGAACUUAAUUCAUAUUAGUACUAUAGAUGAUUACUUACGUAAUAUAUUAUAGAUAUUAAGUUCUCAUUCACAUUCAUAGGAUCAAUUAAUUAAAUAUAUUUAUGGUCAAACCUUGCCUUAUUAGAAGUCAUCAUAAUUAAUGACAACUAAUACUUUUUCAUUAGUUUAAGAAUUAUAAAUCAACAAAAUAUGAUUUUAAGAACAUUUAAAAAAUUUAGAAAUAAAUAUAAAAGUGUUGAAAUAAAAAAAAUUAAGAAGUACCACAUUUUUAAAAUUUUCAAUACGCAAUAAGAAUGUAAUCAAUGAUUUUGUAAAGAUUUGACUUUAAAAAUAAGAGAAGAUUUAAAAUAUAGGAAAAAAAAUUGUACCACAAAUAUGUGUCUCUCUCAGCCGCCCAUAGCAAGGAAAAUAGGUAUUGAAUGACAAAACGGAAAAUUGAUGAUCCGUCUACCACUUGAAACAUCUGGCGGUAAAAUAUAUAUAUAUGUUUAUACUAAAAUAUAUGUUUUUUUAAUAUUAUUAUAUUAAAGUGUGAAACAUCUCUAAAAAAAUGUUUUGAAUUGUUUACACUUCAUUAAAAAUCUCUAUAAUAAAUAAAAUUAUUUAGUUUUAAAUAAACAGAUGUUACACAUGCGAGGCACGUGUGAUUACACCAGCUUUAGCUUAUUUUAAUUUUUCAAAUAACUUCACUAAGCUCAGCAAUAUCACGUCUCCACAUCUUGUAUUUCGAUCCUAAUAAAUCAUAUACCGACAUAAUUUUUCUCACCCUCCCAUGUAAUUUAACAAUUGGUGAUCGUUUCCUAUGUAUUUUUACUAAAAUUUACACAUAUACACUAAAUAAAAAAAUUUUAUUACAUAAUAUACUAAUUUGGUAAAGUAUUUACACAUAUCCCAAAAUAUUUAUACAAAUUCCUUUAUUUUCAACUUUCUCUCUCUUAAACAUUAUAUAUCUCUAAAAAGGUUUUCUCUUCCGUAUUUUACUCCCUCAUAUCCUCCCACAACACACGAUAUUUACUCCAUAAUUGAAUCCCCUUAUUCUCAGCAAAAUUCAAGAAUCGUGUAUCUGGGAGUUACAAUUUGUAAGUUUGAAGAUUUUUUUUUCUUUUUUUUUCAACUUUUUCAAUUUUUGAAAUUGACCGUAUAUUUUGUUGUCGUGGCAUGUUUGUUUUUACCUUAUUUUGCAAGUAUUUUCAAGUUUCGUAGUUUGAUUUUUAUGUUUUCUUCAUAUAAUACAUUUUCGAUUCUUGGUUUGUAGAUUAUUUUUUUUCAAAUUUACCUAUUUUUGUAUUUUUUAGUUUAUUUUAUGAAUGCAUGUUUGGUUUUAAGGAUUUACCACAUUUUUGCAAGUAUUUUCAAGUUUCGUAGUUGAUUCGGGUUAAUUGAAUUACUGAAAAAAAUUGCUAAUGGAUUCUAGUCCUAGCUUUAGUUUAGGACUUAAGUCAGUUAGAUUCUAAAAAACAAGAUAUACCUGUUGGGUUUGUUCCUGGUAUAUUUCAUUUUGAAGAACCCGAUUUCUCAAAGAAUCGUUCAAAGCAUCGAAAUGACCCCACAACAAUGAAGAGAUUGAAGAUAGCGGUCACUUCCAAAUCAAAGAAAUCAAGUUCAAAAACGGCCAGUAAGAAGAAGUUUGAUGAUUCCGGUAGACCACGUCUUCCGAAGGUAUUGAUUAAACAUUAUACUUUACUUACGUUGCAACAUUAUUGUAUAAUAUAGUGGAACAUACAAUUUUGUGCAGCACUAAUGUAUAAUAUUACUAUUAUGUUAUACAUUUCAUUUUUUUAUACAUUGGAUGUUUUUAUUACAUAUAAGAGGCAUUUGAAACUGGGUGUGUUAUUAUACAUUUAUGAAGUUUUCGUUUUGUAUAAUGUUCUAUUAUACAUUCUGACAACAUUACAUGUCAUAUAUGUUUAAGAUGAAAUGUUUAAUCUGACAUUAUACAUUGUAUAUAUUUGAUUAUUAAUGUGUAAUGUUAUUACAUAAAUCUUUUUAUACAUUGCUUUCCAUACUCUUAUUAUACAUAAAAGGUAUUGUAUGAUUUAGUUUAUAUUAUACAUUUAGUGAGUUUUCAUAGUGUAUAAAAUGACAUUAUACAUCUGAAUAACUGAUAUGUCAUACAUGCUUUUAAUGAGAACUAUUUUAGUAUGCAACAUUAUACAUUAGUGCAUCUAAAACAUGUGUAACUUUUCCUGUAAUUAUUAUAUAUUUUCUUAUUUCAGGGCAUGAAAUACCGUAUAGAUAAAGUCCCGGAGCACUCUUCGCAUAUUUUGAGCUUAUGCAACCGUGGUUUUGCUACAGAAAUAAAAUCUUAUUUUGGAGAAGAUAUUUUAAAGGCAUUUAGAAAUACGUUAUUUGGGAUUUUUCUUGACCUUCCGCAGUGCAACUGGAUUGGGCAGAUUUCAAAAUGUAACCUUAUACGAGAAAUCCAACAAGAUAUUAAGGAUGAGAUACAUGUGUGUGUGCAGGGGAAAAUUUUAAAAUUUACAAUGCUUGAAUUUGUCAUUAUCACCGGUCUGAAAUACACCGGUGAUAUUGAUGAGUUUAUGUAUACAUCAUCAUCAAAAUCCCCUUUGAUGUCGAAGUAUUUUCCUGAAUCUAGAGGUGGUAUAACUAGGUCAAAACUGAUAACACGUGUGAAGAUGGAAAAUUUAGAGAACUCUGAAAAUUCUUUGAACCUUGCGAUAUUAUAUUUUUUUUAUACAUUCAUGUUAUCUCAGCAUAAAGAAGCACCAAUCAGUUUAGCUCACUUCCAAAUGAUCGAGGAUGGUCGGUACAUACACUUUCCAUGGGGAAAGAUAACUCUUGAAAAGUUGAUCAACUCGUGGCGGCAGGAUUUCAAAGUCGUAAAGAAGUUAUAUUCUUUGAGUGGAAUGCCCCACGCUCUAAAUAUUUGAAUAUUUGAGUGUUGCUCUGCGGUAGAUAAAAAACUGUUUUGCGACAUGAAAACAUCAUCCCAAGAAUACUUAAUUGGUCUAUUGAGUGUACAAGGCCUAAGUAUGAAUCUUUUAUGUCUGACAUGUUCAGUAAGGUAAUUGUAUAACAUGUUAAAUAUUUUUAUUUUAUACUCACUUUAUCAAAGUUCUAAUAUUUCAUUUUGAAAAUAAUUUUGUUAGUGUUUUUUCAAGAAUUUACAGCUUACAAACGAAGAAGUUCGUACUUUAGAUAUGUCUUUCUCUGAGGAUUUUGUGAUUUUUGAUCCAAUAUUUGCUGCUUCCACUUCUGUUAGUGCAAAAAUGCAAACAGAAAGCGAUGAAGAUCAAUCGCGUGUUGUCACUAGAAAUGACGACUAUGAUGAUUUCACCACUGUACCUACUCAGGAAUUUCUAAGAAAGGCUCGUUUGACUAAACCUAUAUCAACUGAACAACCAUCCAAAAGAAGAAAAAUAGUUAUGUUUCAGGAGUUAGUCUAGCUGCGACAGAUGGAUAGAAAUCAACAAGUUCUCAUUCAGUACAUCAUGUGUCUGAUAUGUUUUCUAAAAAAAAAUUACAAUUAAUAGAUAAACUACAAAUUCGUGUGACUGAUUUUGAUCAUCGUCAUCCAGUAGAAAUCGGUGUGUCUCCUAAGUGCGAACAACUCAAGUCUGUUCCUUUGUCUUCCACAACGCCUGAAGGGACUUCUAAGUCUAAUUUAGAUAUGGAGCAGAUAAAGAGUUACAUCAAAACAUAUGUAAGUUAAUUUUCUUAUUCACAAAUUUUAAUUUUAAAAAACUAUUACUUGUUUCUAAUAGCUUAUUGUUUAUCUGUACAUUAUAAGGUGAAUGAAAAAAUUGCUGAGAUGAAAACACUAAUCUCCAAUAUACCUGAUGAGGUCGUUAAAGCAUUGAAGAAAGAAGAUAAUAAAGAAUCUUCAGUAUAAAAAGAAUUUUCAUUCAAAUUUUUAAUACUUUGAACAAAUACUCAUACAUUAGUAUUAGAGAAAAUUGUUCAUCAACAAAAAGGUGCAGAAGAAGGAUAAAAAAUAAAUGUUAGUGUUUAUAAGAAUGAUUUGUCAGUAAUGUUAAUCUAAAUUAAAUUGGCAUGUUACCAUAAAUCUGUAUAUCUCCAACAUCUUAACUUAUUUUUAUUUGGUUCUUAUACAGCAUGAAGAUGAGUACACGGGACCAGUCAUUCACAUAACAAAUGAUGAACCAUCAGUACUUGAACCUUUUGAAACAGAGAUCUAAGAUUGUGUCCACAUUCAUACUGAAUGUCCAACAAUAGCUGAGGUUCAAUUCGAUCAGAAGGUAUAUAUAUGAUAUCCAUAAAUAUGGUUAUACAAUGUAGAUAUCAAAUUAUAAAAAUAUUUUCAUUCAUCAUUAUAUAAAUUUGAUUAAAUCCACAAACAUUCACUUGUCAAUAUUUUGUAGGAUGAGCAAAUGAAAGAUCAAGAAGAGGGACAUGAAGAAGAAUCGAAAAACAUGCACAUUACUGAUAUGGAAAAUAUAUCGGUACAUUUUGGUCUAUCAUGUUGGUUUGUUCUUGGAUGAAUAUCAAUAUUUUAAAACGCUUUACUUGUAGGCUGUUACAGAAUUAUUACACAUACAUUUGAAUGUAUAUUGAUAUGUUAUACAUUAUUAAUACUAAUAGUAUAUUUCAGAAAAAGAAUGUUCUUUUAUUUUGAGACUGUUUCAGUAUAAUUAUACAUUUGAGUGUAUAACAUUAUGUUAUACAUUAAAUUAUCAUAUAACAAAUACAUAUGGAUUUGUUAUACAUAUCAAUUUUAAAUCACCGGUGCAUAUUUUUUUCAUUCAACUACGUAUCACUUUGACUAAGCUUUUAUGGAUGAUGCUUGUUACUGAAUGUAGGAAGAGCAUAAUGAUGCAAUAGAGGCAGGUUGUACUGAAGAUCCGAGCAUAUAGCAUAGCCCUCAAAUGAAACAUUUAGAGGUAUUUUUUUGAUUGUUCAUAUUUUUUAUUAACUCAAAACUUACAUGCUUAUACAUUCACAUCCAUGCCAACUACAUAUCAAAUUUUAUAAAAAGGUUUUCAUUCACCAUUGUAUGACUUUUCAAAUUACUAUUACAAAAUUUUUUUCUCUUGCACUAUAUCUUACUUGAAUAAUUUGCACUGUAAUACUAUCUUAUUUUGAUAUUGUCUUAGUUUUAUUAUACAUUCAUUUGAAUGUAUAACAUUAUGUUAUACACUGAAAUAAAUUUAAAUACAUGAUGAUUGUUACUGAAUGUAGGAUUAGCAUAAUGCUGCAAUAAAAGCAGGUUGUACUGAAUAACUAAGCAUACAUUUAGAGGUAUUUUUUUGUUGUUCAUGUUGUUUAUCAACUCAAAACUUACAUGCUUAUACCUUCACAUUCAUGACUAAUAGAUAUCAAAUUAUAUAUAUAUCUUUUCAUUCAUCAUUGUAUAGCAUUUAAAAUCACUAUUACAAAAUUUUUUCCUCUAGAACUAUGUCAUACUUUGAAUUAUUUGCAUCGUAAUGCUAUCUUAUUUUGAGACUAUCUCAAUUUCAUUAUACGUUCAUUUGAAUGUAUAACAUUAUGUUAUACAUUAAACCAGCAUAUGAAAACUACAUGUGAAUUUGUUAUACAUAUCAAUUUUAAAUGUAUAACAGUACUUUAUACAUUCAUAAAGAUUAUUAUACAUUCAUAUUCAAUUUUUAUAUAUAGAGAUUACAAAAUACCUUGACAUAUUUAUUUUCUUACAUAAUGAUUUUGAUUACAAUAGGAUGAGUAUAUUGCCGCAAAAGAAUCAUGUUGUGCUGACGAAUUGAACAAACAUCAAAGUACUGAUAUGAAAGAUUUGCAGGUAUUUUUUUGACAAUUCAUAUGUUGUUUUUUAACUAAAAACCUAUCUAAAUUAACGUACCUGUUGUUUAGGUAUCACUAUCAUUAAAUAUUAAUAUGUUUGAUUUUACACAUAACACAUCAAUCUUUAAUCUGUAGGAUGAUGUGAAUGCCACACUAACGAAGUCUGUUCAAGAUGCUUUAGAUGCACUAAUAUUUAGGUUGUCAACACCUUCGAAUACAAAUAAAUUCGAUGUUGUUACACCAAAUUUAGUGACGGAAAGCCAGUGAUCACUUCCAGAUAGUCAGUUUCCACCUGACUUUCCUGAUGCAUAAGAAAGGGAGCUUGAAGCAGCAAAAGCACGUGAAGUAAAACAGAAAUCACCUGUAAAAAAAGACAGAAAAAAGUCAAAGAUUUUUAGGUCACCAUAUAUCACAAAAUUUGGAUCGAGCUCUAAAGAUGAGGGCAGCUCUGAUAAUGAAGAGAAGCAGAGGUAUGCUUUUGAUAGUUGUACCAUUAUCGAAGACUUGCCUAAUUAAUUGAUCAAUGAUUAUUCACAGUGGCUUGAAAUUGGGUUACUAAAAUAUCAUGCUUCAAAGUAAGUUAUUUAGAAAGAUUACUAAAUUAUUGAAAAUAGUACAUAAGAAUAAAACUUGGUUAAGUCUAAUGCUUGUUUAUGUUACACGAAACAAACAGACAA